rnacentral:sRNA from 1 species
UUGACAGCACUGGAAACUGAAGGCCUCUAUUUGUCCACAGAACAGGUACAGCACAGGCAGUGGCAGUGCAAAUUUCACCACACUGCCCUACCAGUGUGCCUUCACCCUAUUUUUGAGGGUCCCUAUAAUGUGAGAGAGUGGUCCAGUAUCUGUUCCCAGUCAGUCCUUGGUGUGU